CCUACGGGAGGCAGCAGUAGGGAAUCUUCCACAAUGGACGAAAGUCUGAUGGAGCAACGCCGCGUGAGUGAAGAAGGGUUUCGGCUCGUAAAGCUCUGUUGGUAGUGAAGAAAGAUAGAGGUAGUAACUGGCCUUUAUUUGACGGUAAUUACUUAGAAAGUCACGGCUAACUACGUGCCAGCAGCCGCGGUAAUACGUAGGUGGCAAGCGUUGUCCGGAUUUAUUGGGCGUAAAGCGAGUGCAGGCGGUUCAAUAAGUCUGAUGUGAAAGCCUUCGGCUCAACCGGAGAAUUGCAUCAGAAACUGUUGGACUUGAGUGCAGGAGAGGAGAGUGGAACUCCAUGUGUAGCGGUGGAAUGCGUAGAUAUAUGGAAGAACACCAGUGGCGAAGGCGGCUCUCUGGUCUGCAACUGACGCUGAGGCUCGAAAGCGUGGGUAGCGAACAGGAUUAGAUACCCCUGUAGUC
rnacentral:rRNA from 1 species